UUGAAAGGGAAACGAUUGAAGUCAGUCGUGCUGGCGCGAAAUCAACCUUCUCGUCCUGAGAUCACAUGGCGUGGCGAGCCUCAAAACCGUCACGAAGCGUGAACUCUUGGUGAAAUGGAGCACUUUCGUGUCCGCUGGUUAACAUCAAUUUCGAACGUCAUAAAAAGGCUGGAGGGAUGUGGCUCCUUCGGGAGUGUUAUAACCUUUAGCGGAAUGUGGUGUUCGGGAUUGAGGAUUGCAACGAAUACCUUUAGGGCUGUUCCACCUGGCUUCUCUUUGGUAUCCUGGUGACGACAGCUUGCUGACGUCGUUAGGAUUCGCCUUUGAACAGGCUAGAGUGUGAGCAAAUUCGUUAAGGAUGUUGACGUA
rnacentral:rRNA from 1 species